rnacentral:rRNA from 1 species
CGGCGUACGGGUGCGGAACACGUGUGCAACUUGCCUUUAUCUUGGGGGAUAGCCUUUCGAAAGGAAGAUUAAUACCCCAUAAUAUGUUGAAUUGGCAUCAUUCGACAUUGAAAACUCCGGUGGAUAGAGAUGGGCACGCGCAAGAUUAGAUAGUUGGUGAGGUAACGGCUCACCAAGUCUACGAUCUUUAGGGGGCCUGAGAGGGUGAUCCCCCACACUGGUACUGAGACACGGACCAGACUCCUACGGGAGGCAGCAGUGAGGAAUAUUUGGACAAUGGGUGAGAGCCUGAUCCAGCCAUCCCGCGUGAAGGACGAUUGCCCUAUGGGUUGUAAACUUCUUUUGUAUAGGGAUAAACCUACCCUCGUGAGGGUAGCUGAAGGUGCUAUACGAAUAAGCACCGGCUAACUCCGUGCCAGCAGCCGCGGUAAUACGGAGGGUGCAAGCGUUAUCCGGAUUUAUUGGGUUUAGAGGGUCCGUAGGCGGAUCUGUAAGUCAGUGGUGAAAUCUCACAGCUUAACUGUGAAACUGCCAUUGAUACUGCAGGUCUUGAGUGUUGUUGAAGUAGCUGGAAUAAGUAGUGUAGCGGUGAAAUGCAUA